GAAACGCGAAAGGUAAUGCGAAUUGCAGAAUCAGUGAGUCAUCGAAUCUUUGAACGCACAUUGCGCCUCUCGGUAUUCCGGGAGGCACGCCUGUUCGAGCGCCAUUACACACUCCAAGCGAAGCUUGAUGUUGGACGAUGCGGUUUCACUUCGGAGAGACUGCACGUCUGGAACGCGUGGGCACCCACCGCCAGACCACGAGCGUAGCAAGACAUUUUCGUCAAUUCGUUCUGUGGGGUUCUGACGGAGGGCGGCCUCAUAGAUUUUCUGUCUCAGAAGUUUGGCCUCGGAUCAGGCGGGGAUACCCGCUGAACUUAA
rnacentral:misc_RNA from 1 species